UACAGAGGGGGCAAGCGUUGUUCGGAAUUACUGGGCGUAAAGGGCGCGUAGGUGGCCUUCUAAGUUGAACGUGAAAUCCCUGGGCUCAACCCAGGAACUGCGUCCAAGACUGGGAGGCUUGAAUCCGGGAGAGGGAUGUGGAAUUCCAGGUGUGGCGGUGAAAUGCGUAGAUAUCUGGAGGAACACCGGUGGCGAAGGCGGCAUCCUGGACCGGUAUUGACGCUGAGGCGCGAAAGCCAGGGGAGCAAACGGG
rnacentral:rRNA from 1 species